rnacentral:snRNA from 13 species
UGAUUUCUUAAAAAUCACCGGGCCUUACUAAAGACCCCAAGUACAAUUUUUGCAACCCUGUCCUUCGGGUCAGGGA